CCUACGGGAGGCAGCAGUGAGGAAUAUUGGUCAAUGGACGAGAGUCUGAACCAGCCAAGUAGCGUGAAGGAUGACUGCCCUAUGGGUUGUAAACUUCUUUUAUAAAGGAAUAAAACGAGGCACGUGUGCCUUUUUGCAUGUACUUUAUGAAUAAGGAUCGGCUAACUCCGUGCCAGCAGCCGCGGUAAUACGGAGGAUACGAGCGUUAUCCGGAUUUGUUGGGUUUAAAGGGAGCGUAGAUGGGUUGUUAAGUCAGUUGUGAAAGUUUGCGGCUCAACCGUAAAAUUGCAAUUGAUACUGGCAGUCUUGAGUACAGUUGAGGUAGGCGGAAUUCGUGGUGUAGCGGUGAAAUGCUUAGAUAUCACGAAGAACCCCGAUUGCGAAGGCAGCUUACUAAACUGUGACUGACAUUGAUGCUCGAAAGUGUGGGUAUCAAACAGGAUUAGAUACCCGAGUAGUC
rnacentral:rRNA from 1 species